AUUCAGAAAGAGCUUGACAUUCAAGGCAAGCAGAACGUUAAGCUUCUGUUACGAAGGACCUCCACCAACUGUUGAGCUGAAAAUGAAAGAGCUUGACAUUCAAGGCAAGCCGAACGUUAAGCUUCUGUCACGAAGGACCACCACCAACUGUUGAGCUGAAAAUGGUAUACUGCAAAUUCCUUUUAAUGUCAUUUAGCAUGGUUAAAAUAUAUCAGAAAUAAGUGCCUGGUUCAUUGUUGAUCUCUCUUCAUGUGCGUAACAUUUCAUAUGCUGUUUGUUCAGAUGCUGUUUUGUGUUUCGGGUGAGUUGUCCAAUUUUAAAGGAGAUAAGGGUUUGCUCUCAUGGUUUCUUGUGACUCCUCUAAAUAAUAAAUAUCAUGUUUUCUUUGAGUUGCCAAGACUUGUUGCUUUUUUU